rnacentral:rRNA from 1 species
GACGAACGCUGGCUGCGUGCUUAACACAUGCAAGUCGAACGCUGAAGCCGACAGCUUGCUGUUGGUGGAUGAGUGGCGAACGGGUGAGUAACACGUGAGUAACCUGCCCCUGAUUUCGGGAUAAGCCUGGGAAACUGGGUCUAAUACCGGAUACGACCACGGAACGCAUGUUUCGUGGUGGAAAGUUUUUCGAUCGGGGAUGGGCUCGCGGCCUAUCAGCUUGUUGGUGGGGUAAUGGCCUACCAAGGCGACGACGGGUAGCCGGCCUGAGAGAGCGACCGGCCACACUGGGACUGAGACACGGCCCAGACUCCUACGGGAGGCAGCAGUGGGGGAUAUUGCACAAUGGGGGAAACCCUGAUGCAGCGACGCAGCGUGCGGGAUGACGGCCUUCGGGUUGUAAGCCGCUUUCAGCAGGGAAGAAGCGAAAGUGACGGUACCUGCAGAAGAAGUACCGGCUAACUACGUGCCAGCCGCCGCAGUAA